rnacentral:rRNA from 1 species
GAUGAACGCUGGCGGCGUGCCUAAUACAUGCAAGUCGAGCGAACAGACGAGAAGCUUGCUUCUCUGAUGUUAGCGGCGGACGGGUGAGUAACACGUGGAUAACCUACCUAUAAGACUGGGAUAACUUCGGGAAACCGGAGCUAAUACCGGAUAAUAUUUUGAACCGCAUGGUUCAAUAGUGAAAGACGGUUUUGCUGUCACUUAUAGAUGGAUCCGCGCUGCAUUAGCUAGUUGGUAAGGUAACGGCUUACCAAGGCAACGAUGCGUAGCCGACCUGAGAGGGUGAUCGGCCACACUGGAACUGAGACACGGUCCAGACUCCUACGGGAGGCAGCAGUAGGGAAUCUUCCGCAAUGGGCGAAAGCCUGACGGAGCAACGCCGCGUGAGUGAUGAAGGUCUUCGGAUCGUAAAACUCUGUUAUUAGGGAAGAACAAAUGUGUAAGUAACUGUGCACAUCUUGACGGUACCUAAUCAGAAAGCCACGGCUAACUACGUG